AGGUGUUAGCAAAGCUGACGAAAAGCACAUGCCAAUUGUGAGUUUUGUGUUCUCAGAAAUCCUGAUGUGAAACCUUCCUCGCACCAAACAGCUCUAAAAGUACCUCCAAUCAGUGCUUUAAGUAGGCAGCAGUACGGAGUCCCAGCACUUCUCAAUUUCAGCCUCUAGAUGGGACUUUUGAUGUUGUACCUGGACUUCACAUGAGCCCAUUGUACCCUCUUUUGUUCUAUUUCUCUCUUGCGCUUUGUGAUACACGCCUGUCCGUCGCGAGACAGCCUCACGAGUCGAAAUGUGUUGGCAGAGAAAGGAAAUGAAGAAGAAUGAACCGUGAAGAAUGUAAACAUAUUAGGGUCCCUUGCUGCUUCACUGAGUCUGUUAGCCCUGUCUGCAUUGGUCCGACAGGGUCACACUACAUUACAAAGCUGCCUCAUUUGCCUCUUUAUCUGGACCAACAGAUGGACUAUCAGCACAUGAGCUUGUGUGACCCCAGGGUGAUGGCGAGGUAACGCGACACUGCAUGGACAUACAUCAUAACUGGGUUAAAAGGGAGACUACUGACUGCUGCCUUAUGCUGCCCUUCAUUUUCUCAAGCAAUAUUCUGCCGUCGUGCGACACAUGCCGACGGCUAACGCGAGACAAAUGAGACAUGGCAAGGGGUGGGGAAUGUCCCUGAAUUAAGCAGCGGCGACAGCCCGAGAAGGACAACCAUGAGGACACGGAGUAAACGAGAAGGGGAGGGAUUAUGUGGGCAGAUUGAUAAACGGGAGAAAACGAACAGGAGGACCUCAUUAAGAAUUGGAGUUUAAGUAAUAAGUCAAUGGAGGUGCUACUCAUUUUAUUACAAUGAGAUGAUCUAUAUGGCUGCUAUUAGGCGCCACGGGGAAAACGCCUACACUAAUUUGACUGCUUUCGUCUUCAGACACACAGGCUUCCCUGUGAUAUCAUCACAAGCUUUUCCAUCAAAAGAGUCUCCCGAAUGGCGGUUAGAACAGCAUAAUGAUGAAAAUUAACUCGUCUCGUGGUGGGAAUCGUAUAGACGGCUGCCUCAAUGUGGACAGCGUACGCUGAACAACGAGCAAAUGAAUGCUUGUAAACACUGAAACAGUGACCCACACAAAAACAUAACAGCUGCGAGCAAAUACCAAAAUGAAAUGACCUCGUAUUCGUUUCAGUUUAAGACCUACAUUCCAUAUUCACAUUUGGCAAACCAUUCUUUUCCUCGUGCCAUAUUACAGCGAGAUGGAGCGAGAGCGAUAAACGAGAAAGGAAAACAAGCUAAAAAGCUAUCACAAUUAGUUUUUGUCUUUAGUCACCAGACAUCGUUUUUAAAUAAAUAAUCUUUGUUUUUGUAAAGACA